rnacentral:rRNA from 1 species
ACCGUAGGACGCAAGCGUUAUCCGGAGUUACUGGGCGUAAAGCGUGGGCAGGCGGCUUCGCAAGUUCGAUGUGAAAUCUCUCAGCUCAACUGGGAGCAGCCAUUGGAAACUACGAAGCUGGAGUCUGGCAGAGGUAGGCGGAAUUCCGGGUGGAGUGGUGAAAUGCGUAGAGAUCCGGAGGAACACCAGAGGCGAAGGCGGCCUACUGGGCCAGUACUGACGCUGAGCCGCGAAAGCCAGGGGAGCGAACGGG